AACGAACGCUGGCGGCGUGCCUAAGACAUGCAAGUCGUGCGAGAAAGGGACUUCGGUCCUGAGUACAGCGGCGCACGGGUGAGUAACGCGUGGGUAACCUACCUCGAAGUUUAGAAUAACCCGGGGAAACCUGAGCUAAUACCGGAUGAGCCACGAGGCCUUCGGUCAUGUGGGAAAGAUGGCCUCUGCUUGCAAGCUAUCGCUACGAGAUGAGCCCGCGUCCCAUUAGCUAGUUGGUGAGGUAACGGCUCACCAAGGCGACGAUGGGUAGCUGGUCUGAGAGGACGAUCAGCCACACUGGAACUGAGACACGGUCCAGACUCCUACGGGAGGCAGCAGUCGGGAAUAUUGGGC
rnacentral:rRNA from 1 species